GCCAGGCACGAUGGCUCAUGCCUGUAAUCCCAACACUUUGGGAGGCUGAGGUGGGUGGAUCACCUGAGGUCAGGAGUUCAAGACCAGCCUGACCAACAUGGUGAAACCCCAUCUCUA
ensembl:misc_RNA Metazoa_SRP Metazoan signal recognition particle RNA